GAUGAACGCUGGCGGCGUGCCUAAUACAUGCAAGUCGAGCGAACAGACGAGGAGCUUGCUCCUCUGACGUUAGCGGCGGACGGGUGAGUAACACGUGGAUAACCUACCUAUAAGACUGGGAUAACUUCGGAAAACCGGAGCUAAUACCGGAUAAUAUAUUGAACCGCAUGGUUCAAUAGUGAAAGACGGUUUUGCUGUCACUUAUAGAUGGAUCCGCGCCGCAUUAGCUAGUUGGUAAGGUAACGGCUUACCAAGGCAACGAUGCGUAGCCGACCUGAGAGGGUGAUCGGCCACACUGGAACUGAGACACGGUCCAGACUCCUACGGGAGGCAGCAGUAGGGAAUCUUCCGCAAAGGGCGAAAGCUUGACGGAGCAACGCCGCGUGAGUGAUGAAGGUCUUCGGAUCGUAAAACUCUGUUAUUAGGGAAGAACAAAUGUGUAAGUAACUAUGCACGUCUUGACGGUACCUAAUCAGAAAGCCACGGCUAACUACGUG
rnacentral:rRNA from 1 species